AAUGGCCGUUAAUAUUUUAUAUGUUGUGAGGUGAAAUGAGAAAUUGUUUGAGGAUGAGUUUGUGUUUGAUUAGUUAGUUGGUGGGGUAAGAGUUUAUUAAGGUAUUGAUUAGUAGUUGGUUUGAGAGGAUGAUUAGUUAUAUUGGGAUUGAGAUAUGGUUUAGAUUUUUAUGGGAGGUAGUAGUGGGGAAUUUUUUGUAAUGGGUGUAAGUUUGAUGGAGUAAUGUUGUGUGAGGGAUG
rnacentral:rRNA from 1 species